rnacentral:rRNA from 1 species
UAUCUGGGUUGAUCCUGCCAGUAGUCAUAUGCUUGUCUCAAAGAUUAAGCCAUGCAUGUCUAAGUAUAAGUUCUGUACUGCGAAACUGUGAAUGGCUCAUUAUAACAGUUAUUAUUCCCUGGCCGGUCAGUGAUUCCUUGGAUACCCAUGGUAAUUCUAGAGCUAAUACAUGCUUAAAAACCCGACUUCUUGAAGGGUUGCGCUUAUUAGAUACCGAACCAACCCAGGCUCUGUCUGGUUUUCGUUGAUUCAUAGUGUUCUGGCGAAUCGACUCGCAAGAGUCGAUGAGGCUAUCAAGUUUCUGACCUAUCAGCUUCCGACGGUAGGAUAUUGGCCUACCGUGGCUUUGACGGGUAACGGAGAAUUAGGGUUCGAUUCCGGAGAGGGAGCCUGAGAAACGGCUACCACAUCUAAGGAAGGCAGCAGGCGCGUAAAUUACCCAAUCCUGACACAGGGAGGUAGUGACAAGAAAUAUCAUAUAAGACGUUUCUGUCUUGUAAUUGGGAUGAGCGAAACAUAAACCGCUUCUCGAGUAUCAUUGGAGGGCAAGUCUGGUGCCAGCACCCCGGUAAUUCCAGCUCCAAUAGCGUAUAUUAAAAUUGUUGCGGUUAAAACGCCGUAGUGGAUAUCUGC